rnacentral:tRNA from 1 species
CCGUACAGUCUCCGCCCCCCUGACGUCGGCGUCCGCGGUGUGGACGGGCCGUGAGGGGCCUCAUGGAGUAAAGGGG